rnacentral:rRNA from 1 species
UAAGUAAGACGUGAAAUCGUACGGCUCAACCGUAUAUACAUGUUUAAACUGGUGAACUAGAGGAUGAGAGAGGUUAUUGGAAUUUCUAGUGUAGGAGUGAAAUCCGUAGAUAUUAGAGGGAACACCGAUGGCGUAGGCAGAUAACUGGCUCAUUUCUGACACUUAGGCACGAAAGCGUGGGGAGCGAACGGGAUUAGAUACCCCGGUAGUCCACGCCGUAAACUAUGGAUGCUA